rnacentral:tRNA from 1 species
UCUUUCCUAGCUCAGUCGGUAAAGAAUCUGGCUGCAAUGCAGGAGAUCCAGGUUCAAAUCCUGGGUUAAGAA